GUUUUUCUCCCUUCAUCCGCUCAGCUUGGAGUUCGUCCUGUGCUGCUUUCAGGGCCGCUGCAAUGCCGAUUUUCUCCGCUGUCCAAUUGUUCAUCUGGGUGUUAUGGAAGGCUUGGAAUCGUUCCCUCAUUUGGAUUGCUGACCCCUCCUGGUUUUUAAGAGCUUCUGCCAACUUUGUCAAUUCAAUGCGAAGCUUCUCUGUUUGAGCCCUCUCAAUUUCCAGUUGACUUUCCAAUUCAAUCUCUGUGUUAGUUUUAGCCAGCUUCAUUUCAGCACUGACCUUCAACAUCCAUUCCAGUUGACCCUUCAAUUCCAAGUUCUCCUUAGAGAUAGUCUCUUCAAAAUUAGGCAGAAGCUGUUUUUCUCCCUUCAUUUUCAAGUCUACACACUGGA
ensembl:lncRNA